rnacentral:rRNA from 1 species
AACGAACGCUGGCGGCAGGCUUAACACAUGCAAGUCGAACGCAUCGCAAGAUGAGUGGCAGACGGGUGAGUAACGCGUGGGAACAUACCCUUUUCUACGGAAUAGCUCUGGGAAACUGGAAUCAAUACCGUAUACGCCCUACGGGGGAAAGAUUUAUCGGGGAAGGAUUGGCCCGCGUCGGAUUAGCUAGUUGGUGGGGUAAAGGCCUACCAAGGCGACGAUCCAUAGCUGGUCUGAGAGGAUGAUCAGCCCCAUUGGGACUGAGACACGGCCCAGACUCCUACGGGAGGCAGCAGGGGGGAAUAUUGGACAAUGGGCGCGAGCCUGAUCCAGCCAUGCCGCGUGCGUGGUGAAGGCCUUAGGGUUGUAAAGCUCUUUCACCGAUGCGGAUAAUGGCGGUAGUCGGAGAAGAAGCCCCGGCUAACUUCGUGCCAGCCGCCGCCGUAA